rnacentral:rRNA from 1 species
AGUGAACGCUGGCGGUAGGCCUAACACAUGCAAGUCGGACGGCAGCACAGUAAGAGCUUGCUCUUACGGGUGGCGAGUGGCGGACGGGUGAGGAAUACAUCGGAAUCUACUUUUUCGUGGGGGAUAACGUAGGGAAACUUACGCUAAUACCGCAUACGACCUACGGGUGAAAGCAGGGGAUCUUCGGACCUUGCGCGAUUGAAUGAGCCGAUGUCGGAUUGGCUAGUUGGCGGGGUAAAGGCCCACCAAGGCGACGAUCCGUAGCUGGUCUGAGAGGAUGAUCAGCCACACUGGAACUGAGACACGGUCCAGACUCCUACGGGAGGCAGCAGUGGGGAAUAUUGGACAAUGGGCGCAAGCCUGAUCCAGCCAUACCGCGUGGGUGAAGAAGGCCUUCGGGUUGUAAAGCCCUUUUGUUGGGAAAGAAAAGCAGCAGGUUAAUACCCCGCUGUUCUGACGGUACCCAAAGAAUAAGCACCGGCUAACUUCGUG